rnacentral:rRNA from 1 species
CAAACAGGAGAUGGCGACCGGCGCACGGGUGAGUAACACGUAUCCAACCUGCCGAUAACUCGGGGAUAGCCUUUCGAAAGAAAGAUUAAUAUCCGAUAGCAUAUAUUUCCCGCAUGGGUUUUAUAUUAAAGAAAUUCGGUAUGAGAUGGGGAUGCGUUCCAUUAGUUUGUUGGGGGGGUAACGGCCCACCAAGACUACGAUGGAUAGGGGUUCUGAGAGGAAGGUCCCCCACAUUGGAACUGAGACACGGUCCAA